rnacentral:lncRNA from 1 species
UUGUGUGACAAAGUGACAAAGCGUCCAAUUUUAUAUAUUAAGAUAUUAGAAUGAAUUUAUAAUGCAGGUUAUCUUUCUCGCAGCUUUUAUGACAUGGCCCAUGCACCCUAAUAACUUACAUUUCGAAGAUUUUUUGCCCAUAGACUCAUUGUCUACAGUAUCAGCAUCCCAUUGCACUUUCUUCUGAUUCUUGGGUUUUCUUAGUUUCAGUACUACAGAUUGAGGUUCCU